UACGUAGGGUGCAAGCGUUGUCCGGAAUUAUUGGGCGUAAAGAGCUCGUAGGCGGUCUGUUGCGUCGGCUGUGAAAACCCGGGGCUCAACCCCGGGCCUGCAGCCGAUACGGGCAGACUAGAGUUCGGCAGGGGAGACUGGAAUUCCUGGUGUAGCGGUGAAAUGCGCAGAUAUCAGGAGGAACACCGGUGGCGAAGGCGGGUCUCUGGGCCGAUACUGACGCUGAGGAGCGAAAGCGAGGGGAGCAAACAGG
rnacentral:rRNA from 1 species